rnacentral:lncRNA from 1 species
UAGCCAGGGUGAACUUAAAAAUUGUUACUGGGUCUGGAUGUUGGGGAUCAGCAAAUGUGGGUCACUGCCAGGAGAACCAGGCCCCGAAUCCAUCUUUCCAUUCUGGGUGAGGAAGAUGGAUGGGGAGGGAUUUUCUGAGCUUGGAUUCUUUCUUCAACCCUUGGCCACUCAGAGCUGGGGUAUGGGUGAGGCCCUCUAAGAGAGUGGUGUGGGGUGAAGCCCUCCCUGGCCUCCUGACUCAGCCUCCAAGCAGGUGGACCCCAACCUUGGGCACUCCAGCUGGGACAGCAAAGACCUCUCGGCUCCUCUGCUCCCCACACUCUUCCUUGCUUUCCAACGGCCAAGAGGAACUGGCCCAUCAGAAAAGGGGUCAGGGGCCCAGGGUCCACAUCCAGCUCUGGAGUUUUGGUACUGGCUCCAUCAUUAAGUUGCCUUUGACCUUGAACAGGCCACUUUGUCUUUCUGGUCCCUUAAUUUUUUUUUCUUUGGUAAGAUGCAGAUAAUUGCAUUAUCCACAUGGAUGUGCUUCCUGGCCAUGGUUGUAAGGUCAAAUGUGUGAGAGGGCUUUGUGCAUUCUGAAAGGAUACAAGAACACAAGAAAAUAUUAUUAGCAUUAUUUGUGUUAGCCCCUUGUAGAGACCCAAAAAAUGGGGCCAGACGUGGGCGUACAAUUACAGCAAGAUCGUAGUGAAAGAAAAGCCGAGGGGCACAUCCUGCUACUCUUGAUUUAGUUUUCCCAAGACCAGGCAAAGCCAAGAACGCCUAUGCUUGUAAUUCCAGAAGCUGACACUAGGGGGUGCCCGAUUCAUGGCAUGAAUGGCAAAGAUCUCAUUUGACGACAAUUUCCUGUUCCCUUUGGUUAAAAUAGUUUGGCAGGGCUCAGUGGCUCGCUCUUGUUUGUCCCCAGCUGUAUGCAAGGAGGAUCCUUGAGUCCUGGAGUUUGAAGCUGCAGUGAGCUAUGAUCAUGCCACUGCAUUCCAGCUUGGGCAGCAGAGUG